rnacentral:rRNA from 1 species
AAACCAGCACCUCAAGUGGUCAGGAUGAUUAUUGGGCCUAAAGCAUCCGUAGCCGGCUCUGUAAGUUUUCGGUUAAAUCUGUACGCUCAACGUACAGGCUGCCGGGAAUACUGCAGAGCUAGGGAGUGGGAGAGGUAGACGGUACUCGGUAGGAAGGGGUAAAAUCCUUUGAUCUAUUGAUGACCACCUGUGGCGAAGGCGGUCUACCAGAACACGUCCGACGGUGAGGGAUGAAAGCUGGGGGAGCAAACCGGAUUAGAAACCCCGGUAGUCC